GACGAACGCUGGCGGCGUGCUUAACACAUGCAAGUCGAACGGAAAGGCCCUGCUUUUGUGGGGUGCUCGAGUGGCGAACGGGGGAGUAACACGUGAGUAACCUGCCCUUGACUUUGGGAUAACUUCAGGAAACUGGGGCUAAUACCGGAUAGGAGCUCCUGCUGCAUGGUGGGGGUUGGAAAGUUUCGGCGGUUGGGGAUGGACUGGGGGCUUAUCAGCUUGUUGGUGGGGUAGUGGCUUACGAAGGCAUUGACGGGUAGGUGGCCUGAGAGGGUGACCGGCGACAUUGGGCCUGAGAGACGGCGCAGACGCCGACAUUAGACAGCGGGCGUGAAUAUUACACAGUCGUCCGAAGCCUGAUGCAGCAACGCCGGGGGCGGGAUGACGGCCUUCGGGUUGUAAACAGCUUUCGGCUUUUACGAAGCUGGAGUGACGGUAAUCAAUAAAGAAGCACCGGCUAACUACGUG
rnacentral:rRNA from 1 species